CGUAGGUGACCUGCGGAGGAUCAUUACUGAGUGAGGGCCCUCUGGGUCCAACCUCCCACCCGUGUUUAUUGUACCUUGUUGCUUCGGCAGGCCCGCCUCACGGCCGCCGGGGGGCUUCUGCCCCCGGGCCCGCGCCUGCCGGAGACAAUCUUGAACGCUGUCUGAAGAAUGCAGUCUGAGCGAUUAAGCAAAAUUAGUUAAAACUUUCAACAACGGAUCUCUUGGUUCCGGCAUCGAUGAAGAACGCAGCGAAAUGCGAUAAUUAAUGUGAAUUGCAGAAUUCAGUGAAUCAUCGAGUCUUUGAACGCACAUUGCGCCCCCUGGUAUUCCGGGGGGCAUGCCUGUCCGAGCGUCAUUGCUGCCCUCAAGCCCGGCUUGUGUGUUGGGUCUUGUCCCCCCCCGGGGGACAGGCCCGAAAGGCAGUGGCGGCACCGUCCGAUCCUCGAGCGUAUGGGGCUUUGUCACCCGCUCUGUAGGCCCGGCCGGCUGCUUGCCGACCCCCAUCAAUCUUUUUUUCAGGUUGACCUCGGAUCAGGUAGGGAUACCCGCUGAACUUAAGCAUAUCAAUAAGCGGAGGAAAAGAAACCAACAGGGAUUGCCCCAGUAACGGCGAGUGAAGCGGCAAGAGCUCAAAUUUGAAAGCUGGCUCCUUCGGGGUCCGCAUUGUAAUUUGCAGAGGAUGUUUCGGGAGUGGCCCCCAUCUAAGUGUCCUGGAACGGACCGUCAUAGAGGGUGAGAAUCCCGUAUGGGAUGGGGUGCCCACGCCCGUGUGAAACUCCUUCGACGAGUCGAGUUGUUUGGGAAUGCAGCUCUAAAUGGGUGGUAAAUUUCAUCUAAAGCUAAAUAUUGGCCGGAGACCGAUAGCGCACAAGUAGAGUGAUCGAAAGAUGAAAAGCACUUUGAAAAGAGAGUUAAAAAGCACGUGAAAUUGUUGAAAGGGAAGCGUUUGCGAUCAGACUCGCCGACGGGGUUCAGCCUGCCUUCGGGCAGGUGUACUUCCCCGCCGGCGGGCCAGCGUCGGUUUGGGUGGCCGGUCAAAGGCCCUAGGAAUGUAACGCCUCUCGGGGCGUCUUAUAGCCUAGGGUGUCAUGCGGCCUACCCGGACCGAGGAACGCGCUCGGCUCGGACGC
rnacentral:rRNA from 1 species